UACGUAGGGGGCAAGCGUUGUCCGGAUUUAUUGGGCGUAAAGAGCGUGUAGGCGGCCUUACAGGUCAGCUGUGAAAACUCGAGGCUCAACCUCGAGACGUCGGUUGAAACCGUAUGGCUAGAGUCCGGAAGAGGAGAGUGGAAUUCCCGGUGUAGCGGUGAAAUGCGCAGAUAUCGGGAAGAACACCCGUGGCGAAGGCGGCUCUCUGGGACGGUACUGACGCUGAGACGCGAAAGCGUGGGGAGCGAAUGGG
rnacentral:rRNA from 1 species